rnacentral:lncRNA from 1 species
AGAGAAUCGUGGCAGGAAAUGAAAUCUCAAAACGUCAACAACGAACAAUUUGUCUGAAAUUCUGCUCAAACACCUUUUUAAAACCAAAUGACAUCAUGUCUGUCGGGGUACAUUGUUCUAGAACACAGAUUGGAAAUGCUUCUCCAUCUCUCCAUAAACAAUGGCUGCAAAGUUUGUCAGCAUCCUCCCUAAAGCAAAACGUGGCAUCAUUCCAUCAGAAUGCUGGAGGCAUCAAGAGCCAUGGCAGUUCAGAGCAGCUAGGACCUCCUGAGAAGAACUAG